rnacentral:rRNA from 1 species
AAUAUUGGACAAUGGUGGCAACCCUGAUUCAGCCAUGCUUCGAGUGUGAAGAAGGUCUUCGGAUUGUAAAACACUUUAAGUUGGGCGGGAGGGCUUUAGGUUAAUACUCUGACUUUUUUACGUUACCAUCAGAAUAAGCACCUGCUGACUCUGCGCAAGCAGCCCCGGUAAUACAGAGGGUGCAAGCGUUAAUCGGAAUUACUGGGCGUAAAGCGCGAGUAGGUGGUGCAGUAAGAUGGGUGUGAAAGCCCCGGGCUUAACCUGGGAACUGCUUUCAUAACUGCUGAGCUAGAGUACGGUAGAGGGUAGUGGAAUUUCAUGUGUAGCGGUGAAAUGCGUAGAUAUAGGAAGGAACACAAGUGGCGAAGGCGAAUACCUGGACUGAUACUGACACUGAGGUGCGAAAGCGUGGGGAGCAAA